UCAACUGACGUCAUAGCGAUUGAUACGCGCCGGGGCAAUCGCAGCUGCAAAGAUCGGAACUGUCUACUUGAAGAGGUACCAACCGAAAGGGAAGGUGUUACCAUGCAGCGAACGACAGGUGUGAAAACCGCGGCGGUAAUUGUCGUUCUUGUUUACCAGAUGACCAGCAUCAAGAUUUCAUCCAGAUCCACAGGCUGUUUUGCCUUUAUGGAGGCAUGCAUAUCAGAGUCGGCUUUCUGUGAGAAAUCCUCUCUCAGAAACAUAUGUCAUCCUAAAGAUGGAAGUUGCCAAAUAAAAGUCUCAAAGGUCUGUAACAUGACCAUCCACUCCAUUCUUGACCAAUAUCCUACAGUGAGAGGGUGUCUGUGUGCAUGGGAGGAGCCCUGUACCUCUCUGGAACUACUCACUUCACAAUGCCUCCCUGAGACAGAUGGUCAAGCCCUGAGCAGCUCUGUUAGCCCCCGCUGGAAUCCUAUGAAGGAACAACCAAUAACCACCAGAGAUAGCUGUCUCUCUGCUCUUCAUAGUUGCCAGAAGUCCCACCACUGUGCAUUAGUGUAUAAGAAGUUGAAGGACUCAUGCCAGAAAGGAAAAAAACAGUGCAACUCUCCAAGCUCUCAGCGCCACUGUCUGUCAUUGUGGAUGGAACUCCAGAGCACCUCUCUGUCUAAUUGUACAUGCGCCCUGAGCAGAAGAAAGUGCCAAGGGAUAUGGAGUGUCGUGAACAACAACUCCUGCAUUCAGAAUGCACUGGAGGCAUUGGCUUCAACGGGUCUACAUGAUUUAAAGGACAGGUCAAAUACAAGAAAGAAGUUAACUGGCUUGUCCACAUGAACAGGUGAUGAGAUAGAUUACUCCCUUGGUCUUGGAUGAGAUGAUACCCCUCACAGGGAUUUUUCAACCUGUAUGUGGGUGUCUGAAGAAGGAUGUUUUUAUAGUGCUAUUACACUGUGCGCAUGGAAUGGGUGUCAAGAGUAUCUGAGUGGGCUCAGGGGGUAUGUCAGAUCUCACCAAACUGUCUCCAAUAUUGCGACCACACUUAUAGACCACCAUUGGAGGUUCCUUGAAGAGUCCAUAUAGCACAACAGAAGAAGAGUUCAACUGUGGAUUGGAAAAGUAGCAGUCUGAAAGAAUACGUUCAUGACAUUGAUGGGUCCUGUUUGCAACAGAUGACAAUCUGCCUCCAUGAUGAUGUCUGCAACAGGCAGAUGGUUCCUCUUGUGCAGACGUGUUUGGCAAAGCAAUGCAACAGCACUCACUGUCGACAGGUCACUCAACAGCUCUACGCUGGUCUGCCAUACAACAUCGCAGAGAUGUUCGUCCUCUGUGAAUGUGACCCAGGCGAUCCGGACUGUCUGCAUAUGAAGGAGGGUCUGCACAGUGGCACAUGUGGAGAACAUUUGGAGGAGGCCAGGACCCAAAUCUGUCUCGAAAUCUUUGACAACUGCCUGGGGGAGGCGCUCUGCAGGAACCGUUUAGAAGCUCUCCUAUCAAACUGCUGGGACACUGAAGACACACCAUGCAGUGAUUUUGCUAUGGAUGAAUGCACUAGUCUUCUGGAUCCUGCUCUUAUCCUUGGAGGAGAUGCAAAGUGCAGAAUGGCUUUGAUUGCUACCAUGGGAACAACACUUCAGCAUCCCUGUACAUGUGGUGGACUUCACAGCAAAGACCUAUACAAGUGCAACAUGAUGCGUGAAGUACUUCACAACCGAACGCAUUUUAUGUCACCAGUGAAGAAAGAAAGUACUCCUUAUGUGCCACCUCCAAUGACUGAAUCAGAAUCAGGAUACGAAUGGUUGAGUGAUCAGCUGUUGAAUGUUUUUGCAUACAUACUGCUUGUUGCAGUAGUACUGUUGGGAGUCAUGAUUGUUCUUCACAUACGGAAGCACAAAGGGAACAAAAAGCCUCAAUUUCACCCUCCUGAUAAAAAUUGUGUUGUAAUUUUCUGACCUUGACACUCAAAUGCGUGUAUCUGUGUAUAUAUUAUCCAUAUGAUUAUGGUACAGUAAGCAAAGGUAUAUGUCUGAUAAUGCAGAACCUGCAUUUUCUGAUCUAAUUUAGAUUUAUUGGUAUCUAACAGCUUUUUGAAAAUACUAUUUGAUCAACAUUUCCUUAGCUACUUAUACUAAUAUGUCAAAACAUGACUCUGUUUUAAGAUAAUUUUGUGAAAUUAAACAAAUGUACGGCCAUAAGCAAUUUCUGCUAUCCUUGUUAGCUUGAGUGUCAGAACACAGUGGCGUGGUUUAUGUGAUAACUCCUGGAAAAAGCUGAUAGCGCUCUAGUAACUGGUACACAACACAGUCAGUAAGGGACAUUAUACAACUGGUUAUGUCAACAAGGCAAUGAUGGUCAAAUAUUGACUCAUCCCUUUUAAGUUAUUUUUUUUCUUGUCUCUAUUGUCACUCCAAUGCUGUAGAGCUGAUUCAGUCUUCUUAUAAGAAAAACAUAUCUAUAUAUAUUUCUACAGCCUUGUAACCAUCCUGUUUUUCCAAGGGAGCAAAGACAAGAUCUUUGUUGUAUGUUAACAUGUGCAAUGUAUUACCAGUAACCAACAUGAGUUAAUUAUAUUAGCAAUAUGCUAGCUGGCUAUACAGAACGUGUUAGAGAAUUGCAUAAUUAGGUUGAUAUAUGAUGGCUAACGUUGCUAUGUAGCAGAUGUUCAUGUUUAAGGUCACAUCUAUGACUUGUCUCAAGUCUGAUAAGAUGCAUUGCUUUGUCCCCCUUUUCAUGGAACCUCAACACCUUAAUCCAGAUGUCAACAAAAUUGAUGCUGUGUUUAUGCCAAUGGGAAUUUUGUAUUUUUUAACAUUCAGAAAAUAUAUUGGUAAUGUGUGUCAAAAAGAUUAUUGUGCGUUUAAUCCUGUGAUACUCUCCCAGUAAGAUAUUUAAAGGUUAACAACUGUUUGGAUUUAUCUCAAGUAAAAUAAUAAUUUAAGUAAUACAAUAUUGUCACAAGAUAAUAACAAAGCUAAGCCUUGAUGUUUGGGAAAGGUUGGGCUGUAGGGGCCAGUAGAUGAUUAGAUAAAUAUUAGAUAUGCAGGCAGCACUGUAGGCAAAUAUUGAAAGCUUAGAAUGUCAUGUGUAAUCUGAAACCUACAGUAAUCUAGCUCUUUAACUGUAAACAAUUUUGUUUAAUCAACCUUUAUUAUCUUUAUGUAGUAAACAUGUUGGAUUCACAGUGGUUUACCAGAACACUUCAGUUUUUGUCUGUUUAUAUUUCCUCCAAUCCAACUACAAUAUAAAAAGGGAUAAUAUUAUGUUAUCUUGGCUUUCUAACAAAUCAGACUUACUCAACCACCCUUCUUUAAGUAACUAUUUAUUUAAUGCAUAAUAUAAAUGUCGCUUCCUAUUGCAAGAUGAACCCAUAGAAUAACGUCACUACAUACAUUGAAUGUAUUUCUUAUUAUUAUGGAACUUUGUCACAUAAUACUUCACAUUGAACUGCAUUCAUUACUAUUGAAAUGCAAAUUAAUAAAAUAAUUUACUUGUGUAUAUUGUUUAAAAAGGAGUACAGUCUAGUGGAAGGGAGGUUAGAUACUUUAUUAUACAACAAAGUUCAUGAUAUUGUUCGGUGUUCUUAGAGAUGUAUGUUCAGAACGCCUACUUCAACUAAAAUAAACGGUUAAGAGGCUUCAGGUAAAAUACAUUUGGCCCCUUUGACUAUUGCACAUACUAUAGGUCAACAUAAAGCUGCCGCCUACUGUGCUUUUAACUCUACAGAAUAAAAUGAAUAGUCACAACCAUCUAUAUGGUUUCGAAUGGGGUCAUGCACUGGUGAGGAUGAAUUGUAUUACUAUUAUUUGUUUUACUCUGCAUCGUUGUGAAGGGCUCGCAAGCAAGCAUUUCACUGUAAAGUCUAUAUCGGUUGUAUUUGGCACCUGACAAAUAACAUUUGCUUUGAAGAGAGAAAAAACCAAUCAAUAUUUUACAUGUGGAGACAGACAGACUUCCAUGUUAAUAGAGCAAAGGACUUGAAAAUACAUUUUGAGGGAGAAAAAUACAUUUUGAGGGAGACAAUGAUCGAAUGGUUUAAAACCCAGCAGGACUCUCCUGCUGAGCUGGAAAUGAAUAGGAAGAGACCCCCACAGAAACACCAUGAAUAACUUUCACAACUUAGUGAGGAGUCAUCUCUAUCUUUCACCUCCUACCAGACAGACUAUACGUGAUAACUGGAAGAGGUUUUUUGGUUAAAAAAGUUCUGUUAUUUCUUGAAUUUAAGUAGCCUUGUCCAACAACGUUUUAAUAAAGUGCCUCUGCUAAAUGGC